rnacentral:rRNA from 1 species
UACAGAGGUCUCAAGCGUUGUUCGGAUUCAUUGGGCGUAAAGGGUGCGUAGGCGGCGCGGUAAGUCGGGUGUGAAAUCUCGGAGCUUAACUCCGAAACUGCAUUCGAUACUGCCGUGCUUGAGGACUGGAGAGGAGAGUGGAAUUCCUGGUGUAGCGGUGAAAUGCGCAGAUAUCAGGAAGAACACCCGUGGCGAAGGCGGCUCUCUGGAACGCAACUGACGCUGAGACGCGAAAGCGUGGGGAGCAAACAGG